AAAAAAUCAAAUUGGAGUAGGUCGGGCAACUGAUUAUAUGAGUUUGUUAGAAAAACCACUUUCCUUUGCUCCUAGCGCCUUCUCGUUCGCUGUAUAGCGUUUUGAGCGGAUAAAGAGCACAAGUGUGUAAGGGGACACAGAAUGAAUGGGAACUAGUUUUGUUAUUGUACUUUUGAUGAAAAGUCACUUUCUAGACAUAAAAUGUCACUUUUUUCACCUUAUCAUACUUUUUCAUCAACUUUUGCAUUUUAAUGUAAACAAUCAUAUUUCGUAAUAUUUUGGGUCAGAAACAUUUCAUAGUACUAUAUUAUGUCUAACUAUGUGAAAAAAAUCAAAUUGGAGUAGGUCGGGCAACUGAUUAUAUGAGUUUGUUAGAAAAACCACUUUCCUUUGCUCCUAGCGCCUUCUCGUUCGCUGUAUAGCGUUUUGAGCGGAUAAAGAGCACAAGUGUGUAAGGGGACACAGAAUGAAUGGGAACUAGUUUUGUUAUUGUACUUUUGAUGAAAAGUGACUUUCUAGACAUAAAAUGUCACUUUUUUCACCUUAUCAUACUUUUUCAUCAACUUUUGCAUUUUAAUGUAAACAAUCAUAUUUCGUAAUAUUUUAGGUCAGAAACAUUUCAUAGUACUAUAUUAUGUCUAAAUAUGUGAAAAGAAUCAAAUUGGAGUAGGUUGGG
ensembl:lncRNA